rnacentral:rRNA from 1 species
AUGAACGCUGGCGGCGUGCCUAAUACAUGCAAGUCGAGCGAACGGACGAGAAGCUUGCUUCUCUGAUGUUAGCGGCGGACGGGUGAGUAACACGUGGAUAACCUACCUAUAAGACUGGGAUAACUUCGGGAAACCGGAGCUAAUACCGGAUAAUAUUUUGAACCGCAUGGUUCAAAAGUGAAAGACGGUCUUGCUGUCACUUAUAGAUGGAUCCGCGCUGCAUUAGCUAGUUGGUAAGGUAACGGCUUACCAAGGCAACGAUGCAUAGCCGACCUGAGAGGGUGAACGGCCACCCGGGAACUGAAACACGGUCCAGACUCCUACGGGAGGCAGCAGUAGGGAAUCUUGCGCAAUGGGCGAAAGCCUGACGGAGCAACGCCGCGUGAGUGAUGAAGGUCUUCGGAUCGUAAAACUCUGUUAUUAGGGAAGAACAUAUGUGUAAGUAACUGUGCACAUCUUGACAGUACCUAAUCAGAAAGCCACGGCUAACUACGUG